GCAGUGGUGGUUCAGUGGUAGAAUUCUAGCCUUCCAUGCAAGAGACCUGAGUUCGACUCCAGCCAAUGCA
rfam:Loxodonta africana unplaced genomic scaffold scaffold_26, whole genome shotgun sequence.